rnacentral:rRNA from 1 species
AAGUCGUAACAAGGUUUCCGUAGGUGAACCUGCGGAAGGAUCAUUAUCGAGUGAGGGUCCCUUGCGGGCCCAACCUCCCACCCGUGUUUAACUAUACCGUGUUGCUUCGGCGGGCCCACUGGGGCCUGUUCCCGGUCGCCUGGGGGGGUGAAACCCCCCGGGUCCGUGCCCGCCGGAGACCCCUUGAACCCUGAGUGAAUCGAGUGUCGUCUGAGUUUGAAUUAAAUCAUUAAAACUUUCAACAACGGAUCUCUUGGUUCCGGCAUCGAUGAAGAACGCAGCGAAAUGCGAUAAGUAAUGUGAAUUGCAGAAUUCCGUGAAUCAUCGAAUCUUUGAACGCACAUUGCGCCCCCUGGCAUUCCGGGGGGCAUGCCUGUCCGAGCGUCAUUGCUGCCCUCAAGCACGGCUUGUGUGUUGGGCUCCGUCCCCCCGGGGACGGGCCCGAAAGGCAGCGGCGGCACCGAGUCCGGUCCUCGAGCGUAUGGGGCUUUGUCACCCGCUCUGUAGGCCCGGCCGGCGCCAGCCGACAACCCAUCAUCCUUUUCAGGUUGACCUCGGAUCAGGUAGGGAUACCCGCUGAACUUAA